CUGCAGUCGAACGGUAGCAGGAAGUGCUUGCACUUUGCUGACGAGUGGCGGACGGGUGAGUAAUGCUUGGGAACUUGCCUUUGCGAGGGGGAUAACAGUUGGAAACGACUGCUAAUACCGCAUAAUGUCUACGGACCAAACGGGGCUUAGGCUUCGGCGCAGAGAGAGGCCCAAGUGAGAUUAGCUAGUUGGUGGGGUAAAGGCUCACCAAGGCGACGAUCUCUAGCUGUUCUGAGAGGAAGAUCAGCCACACUGGGACUGAGACACGGCCCAGACUCCUACGGGAGGCAGCAGUGGGGAAUAUUGCACAAUGGGGGGAACCCUGAUGCAGCCAUGCCGCGUGUGUGAAGAAGGCCUUCGGGUUGUAAAGCACUUUCAGUUGUGAGGAAAAGUGAGUAGUUAAUACCUGCUCACCGUGACGUUAACAACAGAAGAAGCACCGGCUAACUCCGUGCCAGCAGCCGCGGUAAUACGGAGGGUGCGAGCGUUAAUCGGAAUUACUGGGCGUAAAGCGCACGCAGGCGGUUUGUUAAGCUAGAUGUGAAAGCCCCGAGCUCAACUUGGGAUGGUCAUUUAGAACUGGCAGACUAGAGUCUUGGAGAGGGGAGUGGAAUUCCAGGUGUAGCGGUGAAAUGCGUAGAUAUCUGGAGGAACAUCAGUGGCGAAGGCGACUCCCUGGCCAAAGACUGACGCUCAUGUGCGAAAGUGUGGGUAGCGAACAGGAUUAGAUACCCUGGUAGUCCACACCGUAAACGCUGUCUACUAGCUGUUUGUGGCUUUAAGCCGUGAGUAGCGAAGCUAACGCGAUAAGUAGACCGCCUGGGGAGUACGGCCGCAAGGUUAAAACUCAAAUGAAUUGACGGGGGCCCGCACAAGCGGUGGAGCAUGUGGUUUAAUUCGAUGCAACGCGAAGAACCUUACCUACACUUGACAUGCAGAGAACUUUCCAGAGAUGGAUUGGUGCCUUCG
rnacentral:rRNA from 1 species